GCAGAACGUACAUAACUUCUUGAUAAAACAAACUGCUGUCUAUCUCCCUUUUCGACACUGCAAAAAAAAAAUCGAACAGGCAAUUAAAGAGGGGGUUGCAACCACAUGUUCCCCGUACAAACGGAUCGGAAUUCAAUUCUCAUUCUGUAAACAAAUAUUGUAGGAUAGUUAAGGUAUUUUGGUGUUUUUAAAAGCCCCUCCCCCUUUUUUUUAAUAUACACCACAAAAAAAAAACAUUUAGUUAGGAUAAAGAACUAAUAAACGAUAGUCCUAUAAUGUAAGGCUUCAGAGUUUCAUAUCUUUAAGAUUCAACAUGUUUAUCGGAUUGUUUUUUACUAUCAAUGUUGAACCGUUAAUUUUUAUCGGAUUUUUUUUAACUACCAAUGUUGAACC
rnacentral:lncRNA from 1 species